AGAGCCGGGAAACGGUGUCGUUUACUGGGUGUGGUCAGGUUGGGCCACGUCACCAAUUUCAAUUCUGCACAAGUCGUUUAAGUUCUGAAGAAAGAAGACGAUGACAGGGCAGCUGACCAUUUGAACAAGAGCGAAAAUAAUACAGUGGAAUUUGAAUCUAAAGAUCGAAGCUUUUGCAUUUGGGUCGGAAAAAGUUGAAGUCUUUGAGCAGAAAAAGCAUGGCCAGUUGCUGGGUAAGGAGUCCGCAGCCGCAUCCCAAUCUCCACCCUCAUCGAUCUUUCAGUAAGCGGCUGCUGAUUCAGCCGCAGAGCCGCGUCCUCAGCCUCUCGAAUUCUCAGCGCCGUCGUCGGAGCAGAAUCUGCUGCAACUACGACGACGAAACGACCAGGAGACAAUCACAACCACCAAGUCCACAGGGUCCACAACCAACUGGGAUUCAGCUCUACUCUGAGAUUGAGAGAUUACUUACAGAGACAGUGAGGCAAGCCCAAGGUCGUUGGGAUGGUACAGGCGACUGGACUCAAGUUGAGGGAGCAUGGGUUCUCAAACCGAGAAACUCAGAACCCAAGGCCGUUGUACAUUUUAUUGGUGGCAUAUUUGUUGGAGCCGCCCCUCAGCUUACCUACCGUUUGUUUCUUGAGCGCCUCUCAGAAAAGGGUAUUUUGGUGAUUGCAACACCAUAUGCUAGUGGAUUUGAUCACUUCUUCAUUGCAGAUGAAACCCAAUUCAAAUUUGAUAGGUGUUAUCGAUUUCUUAAAGAGACGGUUCAAGAUCUUCCUACUUUCGGCAUUGGCCACUCUUUGGGAUCUGUCAUCCACCUUUUGAUCGGUUCAAGAUAUGCUGUUCAAAGAAAUGGGAAUGUGCUGAUGGCAUUCAAUAACAAGGAGGCAAGCUCAACUAUUCCUCUGUUCUCACCUGUUGUCGUUCCAGUUGCUCAAGGCCUUGGACCAAUUUUAUCACAGAUUGCAUCAUCACCAACAAUCCGCCUAGGGGCAGAAAUGACUUUGAAGCAAUUCGAAAACCUUAGCCCUCCCAUCAUGAAGCAAGUUCUUCCUUUAGUUGAGCAGCUCCCUCCACUGUAUAUGGACUUAGUUAAUGGAAGAGAAUAUUUUGCUCCAAAACCAGAAGAAACUCGGCGACUAGUAAAAUCUUACUACGGUAUUUCCCGGAAUCUUCUGGUGAAGUUCAGGGAUGAUAUGAUCGACGAGACUUCAACUUUGGCACAGUUGCUAAUUUCAAAUUCAGGCCAUCAGUUCUAUGCUAGACAUGUCAAUUCGCUUAUUACCCUGGAGAUCACGGGCUUCCUUUGCAACAGGCUCUCCCAGAUGUGCCUCCGGCAAUGGCAGAUGCAGUAAAUCGCGGAAGUGAGAUGUUGGCUAAUCUUACUGUAGGGACACCAUGGGAGACCGUUGCCAAAGAAGUAGGCAGCACUUGGGGUGUAGAGUCAAAGGUACUUCGUGCAGAAGCAUCAAAAGACUUAGGCCUGCUUGUUGAUGUGAUUGCGUCGUGGAUAACUUCAAAUGCAGGUCCAACGCUCUUGAAGCCGUGAUGAGUUGGACCAAAUAAUAGCAUACAAAUCAGACCAAAGUUUUUAUCUCGCUGAGACAAGGACAUGGUUUUCGAUAGGACGACGAAAAGAAAUGAAAUGGAAAUAAAAUCUUGUUCAUAUUCAUGUAAUUUCAAAGAUGUUCAGGUAUAGGUAGAAGUAACCAAAACGUGUGUAAAUGUACAUUUGCUGGGUUGUAAGUUGUAGCAGAAGCAGCUUUUCUCUAAAGAAGAAAAAUAGUUGUAACAUAAACAAGCAUCGGAAACAAGGAUAAUGAUAGUUUACUGUUACUAUUGA